rnacentral:rRNA from 1 species
GGCGUCGAGCGGCGGACGGGUGAGUAAUGCCUAGGAAAUUGCCCUGAUGUGGGGGAUAACCAUUGGAAACGAUGGCUAAUACCGCAUGAUGCCUACGGGCCAAAGAGGGGGACCUUCGGGCCUCUCGCGUCAGGAUAUGCCUAGGUGGGAUUAGCUAGUUGGUGAGGUAAGGGCUCACCAAGGCGACGAUCCCUAGCUGGUCUGAGAGGAUGAUCAGCCACACUGGAACUGAGACACGGUCCAGACUCCUACGGGAGGCAGCAGUGGGGAAUAUUGCACAAUGGGCGCAAGCCUGAUGCAGCCAUGCCGCGUGUGUGAAGAAGGCCUUCGGGUUGUAAAGCACUUUCAGUCGUGAGGAAGGUGGUGUAGUUAAUAGCUGCAUUAUUUGACGUUAGCGACAGAAGAAGCACCGGCUAACUCCGUGCCAGCAGCCGCGGUAAUACGGAGGGUGCGAGCGUUAAUCGGAAUUACUGGGCGUAAAGCGCAUGCAGGUGGUUUGUUAAGUCAGAUGUGAAAGCCCGGGGCUCAACCUCGGAAUAGCAUUUGAAACUGGCAGACUAGAGUACUGUAGAGGGGGGUAGAAUUUCAGGUGUAGCGGUGAAAUGCGUAGAGAUCUGAAGGAAUACCGGUGGCGAAGGCGGCCCCCUGGACAGAUACUGACACUCAGAUGCGAAAGCGUGGGGAGCAAACAGGAUUAGAUACCCUGGUAGUCCACGCCGUAAACGAUGUCUACUUGGAGGUUGUGGCCUUGAGCCGUGGCUUUCGGAGCUAACGCGUUAAGUAGACCGCCUGGGGAGUACGGUCGCAAGAUUAAAACUCAAAUGAAUUGACGGGGGCCCGCACAAGCGGUGGAGCAUGUGGUUUAAUUCGAUGCAACGCGAAGAACCUUACCUACUCUUGACAUCCAGAGAACUUUCCAGAGAUGGAUUGGUGCCUUCGGGAACUCUGAGACAGGUGCUGCAUGGCUGUCGUCAGCUCGUGUUGUGAAAUGUUGGGUUAAGUCCCGCAACGAGCGCAACCCUUAUCCUUGUUUGCCAGCGAGUAAUGUCGGGAACUCCAGGGAGACUGCCGGUGAUAAACCGGAGGAAGGUGGGGACGACGUCAAGUCAUCAUGGCCCUUACGAGUAGGGCUACACACGUGCUACAAUGGCGCAUACAGAGGGCGGCCAACUUGCGAAAGUGAGCGAAUCCCAAAAAGUGCGUCGUAGUCCGGAUUGGAGUCUGCAACUCGACUCCAUGAAGUCGGAAUCGCUAGUAAUCGUGGAUCAGAAUGCCACGGUGAAUACGUUCCCGGGCCUUGUACACACCGCCCGUCACACCAUGGGAGUGGGCUGCAAAAGAAGUAGGU